rnacentral:misc_RNA from 1 species
CCGAGUUUACAACUCCCAAACCCCCUGUGAACUUAUACCAUUUACUGUUGCUUCGGCGGGUCACGGCCCCGGGGAAGGACAGCGGUCGCCGUCAGGCCUCAGCUGCCCGCCCCCGGAAACAGGCGCCCGCCGGGGAACUCAAACUCUUCUGUAUUUCUUUAUCUAAUAUAUACUGUCUGAGUAAAAACUAAAAUGAAUCA